rnacentral:rRNA from 1 species
GGAGUUUGGACCGUGUCUCAGUUCCAAUGUGGGGGACCUUCCUCUCAGAACCCCUAAGGAUCGUUGGCUCGGUGGGCCGUUACCCCGCCGACUACCUAAUCCUACGCAUCGCCAUCCCUUACCGAUAAAUCUUUCAUACUCUUCUGAUGCCAUCUAAAUAUAUAUCGGGCAUUAAUUCGGUUUUCACCGGGCUAUUCCCGAGUAAGGGGAAGGUUCGAUACGCGUUACGCACCCGUGCGCCGGUCGUCAUCUGGCUGAGAAAGCUCAGCCAAUGUUACCCCUCGACUUGCAUGUGUUAAGCCUGUAGCUAGCGUUCAUC